rnacentral:snRNA from 1 species
ACCUGCGCGGUGAGCCCAAAGUGAACUAUUCUUUUGCCUGUUACUAAAGAAAUACUGAGUGCGCGUCGCAAAUAGUUGGAUAAGCCAAUUUUUGGAGCGGGUUCUCCUUAUAGCCGC